rnacentral:rRNA from 1 species
AGAGUUUGAUCCUGGCUCAGGAUGAACGCUGGCGGCGUGCUUAACACAUGCAAGUCGAACGGAGAAUACUUUGACAGAGACUUCGGUUGAAGUCGUUGUAUUCUUAGUGGCGGACGGGUGAGUAACGCGUGGGUAACCUGCCUCACACUGGGGGACAACAGUUAGAAAUGACUGCUAAUACCGCAUAAGCGCACGGAAUCGCAUGAUUCCGUGUGAAAAACUCCGGUGGUGUGAGAUGGACCCGCGUCUGAUUAGCUAGUUGGUGGGGUAACGGCCUACCAAGGCGACGAUCAGUAGCCGACCUGAGAGGGUGACCGGCCACAUUGGGACUGAGACACGGCCCAAACUCCUACGGGAGGCAGCAGUGGGGAAUAUUGCACAAUGGGGGAAACCCUGAUGCAGCGACGCCGCGUGAAGGAAGAAGUAUCUCGGUAUGUAAACUUCUAUCAGCAGGGAAGAUAAUGACGGUACCUGACUAAGAAGCCCCGGCUAACUACGUGCCAGCAGCCGCGGUAAUACGUAGGGGGCAAGCGUUAUCCGGAUUUACUGGGUGUAAAGGGAGCGUAGACGGCGCGUUAAGUCUGAUGUGAAAGGCAGGGGCUCAACCCCUGGACUGCAUUGGAAACUGGCGUGCUUGAGUGCCGGAGAGGUAAGCGGAAUUCCUAGUGUAGCGGUGAAAUGCGUAGAUAUUAGGAGGAACACCAGUGGCGAAGGCGGCUUACUGGACGGUAACUGACGUUGAGGCUCGAAAGCGUGGGGAGCAAACAGGAUUAGAUACCCUGGUAGUCCACGCCGUAAACGAUGA